CUGGCUCCGCUUUUAGGCAGCGCCUAAAUCUAUAUAUUAGACUUCUGAUGAAGUAAAUAAAGUGCGUAGUGUCUUUGAGAUUACACCUUUGCUUGAGCGUUAUAUGCCGCAGAAAUGGAUCUACGGAGGACGAUAUACGCUAGACGUGGUUCAUGAGGUGACAAAAACCUUAGGUGACAUAUUAUAUGUCUUUGUGGUGGAAUUUGUCGUUCUUUAAUGUUUCACGUCUAUGGGAGCGUUGCUCGACCUGACAUAAGCGCUUUCUUUGUGCAUGUUAAGUUUCUUAGAGUUAUUUAGGACAUAUCUGCAGUACAGCUCACUCCUGUUUUAAUAGAUUUUUUAAAAUCAAACAGGAAGAUUUGAGGCUGCCGAGAAUCGCCACUGUAACUCGUAGAAAUCAAAGUGCACUUUGGCUAAAUCUGGCUUUUUUCUGAGAGAGGGCUCGCUCAUCCCGUCUAAGCCGGGCGAUGAUAGCUCUGUUGUACAUAACAUUAAAAGAGGUACGUCUGUCAGUUUGAGUUUAAAAAAUGGUAUUGCUGUUUCCGACUUUCUAGACUCUCGGAUUGUAAGCUAAAUCGGGCCUAAUGACCUCCCGUUUUUGUCUUAACAAAAAAAAAAUAGAAAUUUGCUGAGCUGAAUAAAAUUCAGUGCAUUGUGUAUCUUUGCUUAUUAGAGACAGACCACCUCUCAACGGUCGUAUUAGCCUAGGCUUUGUUGGUUUUUGCCCCUUCACAACGCAUAAUUCAAGAUGGCGGUCGUGAUAUUUGAACUCCGUGUUUUCGGCCGAAAAAAACUGUAAAAGCCUACAGGUUGGCUACGGGUGAAUGGAAUUUCUGUGGAGUCAAUACGCCAUUUGCUAAUAUUUAUCCUUUUUCAGCUGCGCCUUAGUAUAGUAUAGUAAAACAAGUUCAGCGGUUACCUGGCAAUGAUACAUGCGCAGACUGUACCUCUAAAGAUCCCACAUGGUUGUCGACGAACCUCGGCGUCUUGACGUGUAUCGAGUGCUCAGGAGUUCAUCGCGGGAUGGGUGUCCACGUUUCUAGAGUCCAGCCAUCACGCUCGACAAUAUAGGCACCGCUGAACUGCUCGUGACUGAGUUUUUAUUCUUAUUUUUGUCCAACUAUUGUUUGUUUAAUGUUUAACCAUUUAGAGUUAGACAUGAGGAAGUAGAGACAAGUAAAGCCCUUUUUGGG